GAAAUGCGAUACGUAAUGUGAAUUGCAGAAUUCAGUGAAUCAUCGAGUCUUUGAACGCACAUUGCGCCCCCUGGUAUUCCGGGGGGCAUGCCUGUCCGAGCGUCAUUGCUGCCCUCAAGCACGGCUUGUGUGUUGGGCCCCCGUCCCCGCCCAAGGGGACGGGCCCGAAAGGCAGCGGCGGCACCGUGUCCGGUCCUCGAGCGUAUGGGAAGCAACUUUUUGUCACCCGCUCCUGUAGGUCCGGCCGGCGGCCUGCCCAACCCCAACCUUUUUUUCAACCAGGUUGACCUCGGAUCAGGUAGGGAUACCCGCUGAACUUAAGC
rnacentral:misc_RNA from 1 species